AACGCGAAGAACCUUACCAGGGCUUGACAUCCUACUAACGAGAUAGAGAUAUGUUAGGUGCCCUUCGGGGAAAGUAGAGACAGGUGGUGCAUGGUUGUCGUCAGCUCGUGUCGCGAGAUGUUGGGUUAAGUCCCGCAACGAGCGCAACCCCUAUUGUUAGUUGCUACGCAAGAGCACUCUAGCGAGACUGCCGUUGACAAAACGGAGGAAGGUGGGGACGACGUCAAAUCAUCAUGCCCCUUAUGUCCUGGGCUACACACGUAAUACAAUGGCGGUCAACAGAGGGAUGCAAAACCGCAAGGUGGAGCGAACCCUUAAAAGCCGUCCCAGUUCAGAUUGUGGGCUGCAACCCGCCCACAUGAAGUCGGAAUCGCUAGUAAUCGCGGAUCAGCAUGCCACGGUGAAUACGUUCCCGGGUCUUGUACACACGC
rnacentral:rRNA from 1 species